rnacentral:rRNA from 1 species
UAGGGAAUCUUGCGCAAUGGGCGAAAGCCUGACGCAGCAACGCCGCGUGGGGGAUGAAGGCCUUCGGGUUGUAAACUCCUUUCAGUGGGAACGAAAUUGACGGUACCCACAGAAGAAGCCCCGGCUAACUACGUGCCAGCAGCCGCGGUGAUACGUAGGGGGCGAGCGUUGUCCGGAUUUACUGGGCGUAAAGAGCUCGUAGGCGGCUUGAUAAGUCGGGUGUGAAACCUCCAGGCUUAACCUGGAAUCGCCACUUGAUACUGUCAUGGCUGGAGUCCGGUAGGGGACCAUGGAAUUCCUGGUGUAGCGGUGAAAUGCGCAGAUAUCAGGAGGAACACCAGUAGCGAAGGCGGUGGUCUGGGCCGGUACUGACGCUGAGGAGCGAAAGCGUGGGGAGCGAACAGG